CGAGGUGGAAGCAUGGUGACAUGUGGAGCUGACGAAUACUAAUAGAUCGAGGACUUAACCAUA
rnacentral:rRNA from 3 species